rnacentral:rRNA from 1 species
GACGAACGCUGGCGGCGUGCUUAACACAUGCAAGUCGAACGGCAACGCCCUGCUUUUGUGGGGUGCUCGAGUGGCGAACGGGUGAGUAACACGUGAGUAACCUGCCCUUGACUUUGGGAUAACUUCAGGUAACUGGGGCUAAUACCGGAUAGGAGCCCCUGCUGCAUGGUGGGGGUUGGAAAGUUUCGGCGGUUGGGGAUGGACUCGCGGCUUAUCAGCUUGUUGGUGGGGUAGUGGCUUACGAAGGCUUUGACGGGUAGCCGGCCUGAGAGGGUGACCGGCCACAUUGGGACUGAGAUACGGCCCAGACUCGUACGGGAGGCAGCAGUGGCGAAUAUUGCACAAUGGGCGGAAGCCUGAUGCAGCAACGCCGCGUGCGGGAUGACGGCCUUCGGGUUGUAAACCGCUUUCGCCUGUGACGAAGCGUGAGUGACGGUAAUGGGUAAAGAAGCACCGGCUAACUACGUG